rnacentral:rRNA from 1 species
UGGGGAAUAUUGGACAAUGGGGGCAACCCUGAUCCAGCCAUGCCGCGUGCGUGAAGAAGGCCUUAGGGUUGUAAACUGCUUUUCGGCGGGACGAUGAUGACGGUACCGCCGGAAGAAGCCCCGGCUAACUCCGUGCCAGCAGCCGCGGUAAGACGGAGGGGGCAAGCGUUGUCCGGACUCACUGGGCGUAAAGGGCGCGCAGGCGGGACGGCGCGUCGGCGCUGAAAGCGCCCGGCUUAACCGGGCGCGGCGCGGCGAUACGACCGACCUGGAGGCAGGCAGAGGGUGGCGGAAUUCCGGGUGUAGUGGUGAAAUGCGUAGAGAUCCGGAGGAACGCCUGUGGCGCAAGCGGCCGCCUGGGCCUGACCUGACGCUGAGGCGCGAAAGCGUGGGGAGCGAACCGGAUUAGAUACCCGUGUAGUCC